UCCUAUUCGAACGUACAACAGCUGUCUAUGCGUAAGCUGUUGUAGCACACAGAAAAAAACGUACCUGUAGCUGAUACUGUAAUGUAUGUUCCUUGGAAACAACCCACAUCUGCUUUUCACAAACAAGAAAUAAACACAAGCUGUAAGUGGCGAAAAGUAAAGCGAAUGCAGGUGGGAUAGCUCCUGUAUGCCUAAAUUGAAGCACAAAGCCUUUGACACAGCUGACCCGUCAUCCUUCUCCACUGCCUCUCCAUCGUCAACCGGCUGGAAGGGAUUGCCCAUGCCUGGUUCCACUCUUUACCACGUAAUCGCGAGAUUAAAAUUUACAACUUUUAACAGUUGCCCGGGAGAAUCGCAUUUUUGGUGAGUAUGUGUCACAGAAAUAGAAUAAAAACCAUCAUAUAUAUUUGGAAGAUGAGAUUAUAAACAGAAAGUGCUGCAAAUACUCGGCCGGGUCACUUUCUGUUUUUAUUUGAAAGCCGAAGCCUUCGGUAACUGGUGGAACAGGACAAUUCAGCCUGCAACCUCUUGAACUCCGCGAUAAAAGCAGAAAAUGCUGAAGAAUCUCAGCCUUUGCGAAGGGAGUUUGACAUAAAUCUCCUUCAGGACGAAGCACCCAGAUUUCCUGACUUCCAGCUUAAAUGAACAAUGUUAGGGUACGCUGGAAGGUGCUAUUUGAUUUACACUCCAGUCAUGGUAACUACAUCAACAAGGUCCACCGCCAGAGCUAACGGCCAAGGGGCACAGCACGCAGCGAACACGGGAAAACACACCACUCGCGCAGCUCCCGCCCGAACUGAUGCGCUUGUGAGAUUCACCAAUCAGAACCUUGUGCCGGUGUCACGUGGCGUUUACGGGCG